CAUCCGAAUCAAAAGAUGAAGAAGUGGUCAUAGAUUGUUGCAGAGCUUCCUCGUACGUCAGGGAUUUAGCAGGAGCUGUUGCACUGCUUAGAACAGAGGUUAGAAGAGCCAAUCCACCAUUGAAUCUCUUCAAGAAGCUUUCUUGGGAGAUUGGUUUCGGUGACUUCUGUGGAAAGAGGUUAGGGAGCGAGAAGGGCUUUCGUGGUUCUGAUCUUUUCUCGGAUAAAACUGACAUAGGGCUAAAGGUUGCGGUUUUUAGAGCCUCCAUGUCUCUCUCUCUCUCUUUUUAUCUCUCUCCUUCUAUACCAAGAAUUGCUCUCUCCGUAUCAUCAAACUUUCAAGAAAGAUUGAAGAAGAAGAAGUGGAAGAGAAAGUGUCAAGACAAGCAUUGAGCUGUUUCUAGUAAGCUGACGUGGACUGUGUAAUCAAUCCUAGCCACCGCUUGCUUGACACGUGGCAUAUUCGGAUGAGAUACCUCUUGAUCAUGUUUUGGUGUGAGAGGAGAGCAUAGUGACUUACUUACUCCCAAAUUGCAAGUCAAAUGUGUGGCCACAGAAAAUUGAAGAUGCUUCAGCAGAAUCCUCUGAAUAUUUACCAAAACACCCUCUAUCUAGAACAAAAGUUAUAGACUAAAAGCUAACUAAAAAGAUUCCUUAGCAUUUGAUCAUUGAUGUAAAGGAACACUAUGAAACAGAACAUAAUGCAACGUAAGAACUUAC
rnacentral:lncRNA from 1 species